rnacentral:lncRNA from 1 species
UUUGUUUACAAAAGAACGAGGUUUAGAUAGAAGGGGGGGAAAGAGAGAACAAUUUAAUUCCUUCUCUCAAAGGAUUAGUGCCCUUGAUAAAAGUGAACAGAGAGGCUGGGGGAGGAAAUUCCUCUCCUAGGGUUGAUAGCAGCCCAGACACAGAGGCCAGUCUGGCUUCCUUCCCACCACACACCAGCCAUGGCCAAAGGCCCAGUCGGUAUCAGCCUCAGCCCUGGCUCUGGAGUGAGGAUGGUGCUGACCUGCGUGGCCUGACUGGCAAGCACGCAGAAAAAGGCACCAAUGAAGUAGAAGACCCUGGAGUAGGCAUGUCCAGAUGGCAUCACUUGGUUAGAGAUGUGCCACAGUAUCUUCACGUCCUCAAGAUUGUUGGCAUUUUUGCUCAGGCCCCUGUCACAGGCACGCAGCAGCAUGAUGUUUUUGGGAGUGGAAAUGAAGACAGUUUUAUAAGAAAGCAACUUUCUCUUGUGAGAACACAGCUGGCUCUUCAGCCAUGAGUUCUAGUUUGAAUCUGCCAGCCCUUCCCAUCUGUUUGACAUUCCACAGCUUUGUGGGUGGAGACCAGGCAUUUUUGAGUGGAGUGUCCCCCACCCCUAACCUGGAACUUGGUGCAACAUUGGAAGGUAAAGGUGGAGUUUCCAAGAGAACAGCAUUGAAGGAGGGCUGGGAAAGCACAAGACAGGAAGAGUCUGUGCCAAAAGACCCUGGAUAGGAAGAAACACAAGAAAAAAUUUAUCCAAAGUCAAGAUUGAGUGGGAGCCCAGAGGAACGUUGCAUUCAAAUGACAAAGAAUAUGAAGCCGAUAGGGAUAAAGUGAGUAACCCAAGGUCACAAGACAAGAGAGCUGGUCCAGGACAAGAACUUGGUGCUCAUGUCAGGUUCUCUCUGCCACAUCUUGAGAAUACGUGCAUCCUUUGUGAGUAAAUGCUUUACUGUGAUGAAGGAAAUAGAAGAGACAUAGUGAAAUGUUUUCAUGCUUUGUAUCUGCACUCUUGAUUAUCUCAUUAAUUCUCUGUGACAAGUUUUGCUAGCAAUGCAUUUUGUUGUCUUGGUGUAUAUUAUUAUAUACAUCAGAAAGCCAUUGAGAAGUUAUCAACAAAAUAUAAAAGUAUGCUGUGCCACUCCAGAGACAAAACCACAACUGACACACAGGUUUGUUUUCUUCUGACCCAUAAGUGCACACGCAUAUGAAAAUGAAGAUAAGGUUUAGAGCAAAUGUAUAGCCUUUUGUCUUGUUUUAAAAACAUCAUAUUGCUUAACUUGUGAGCAUUUUUGUAAACUGCAUUUCUAUCUCUUUUUGUGUAUUAAUCUAUCUAUCAAAAGUUAGGCUAUAAAUAAAGGCUAACAAGGCUAAACUGGAUAGUACACUAAUAUAAGAAAGUAAUAUAGCAGAGCCAAAUUUGACAUUACACGUUUCUUUGAUUGGAGUCAGAGAUUAUGUUCAGAGUGUUGUGAGAUUUCUAUAAAUUCAUUUAUUUACUUUGUUUCCUCAUUUUGAUAAUACAGAAAGAUAUUCUGGAUUAUAUAGAUAAAACAUCUAUAUUCAGUAUAGCCUUGCAAUUUCAAAGACCAGAUUUUUGCUUCUGUUUAAGAUUACUUUGUUGCCAGGUAGUAUUCACUUAAUUAGAAUCAACCAUUUAAGAAGAGAAGGGGUAGAAUAAUAGGUGCUCUUCCAAGUGCAGUUUAAAUGAGGGUGGGAUUAUAUUCAGAUUCCAAAAAACUCAAUUUUUAAGGAGCAAGCUCAAAAUUACAUUUGUUUGGCUGGUUUUUUAUUUUGUAAAUUAAUGAAGUUGGGUAGGAGGAUAUGAGCUAUAAGCAUACAUUGUUUUUAGGGGUUUGUUUGUUCUACUUUUUUAAAAUAAAUGAUUGCAGAGUAACUAUAUUUGUCCAUUCUCAUGCUGCUAAUAAAGACAUACCCAAGACUGGGUAAUUUAUAAAG